rnacentral:rRNA from 1 species
UUUGACGUUAGCGACAGAAGAAGCACCGGCUAACUCCGUGCCAGCAGCCGCGGUAAUACGGAGGGUGCGAGCGUUAAUCGGAAUUACUGGGCGUAAAGCGCAUGCAGGUGGUUUGUUAAGUCAGAUGUGAAAGCCCGGGGCUCAACCUCGGAAUUGCAUUUGAAACUGGCAGACUAGAGUACUGUAGAGGGGGGUAGAAUUUCAGGUGUAGCGGUGAAAUGCGUAGAGAUCUGAAGGAAUACCGGUGGCGAAGGCGG